UACGGAGGGUGCGAGCGUUGUCCGGAAUCACUGGGCGUAAAGGGCGCGUAGGCGGCCUGAUAAGUAGGGGGUGAAAUCCUGCGGCUUAACCGCAGGGCUGCCUUCUAAACUGUCAGGCUAGAGCACAGUAGAGGCAGGUGGAAUUCCCGGUGUAGCGGUGGAAUGCGUAGAGAUCCGGAAGAACACCGGUGGCGAAGGCGGUUGGCUGGGCCGUUGCUGACACUGAUGCGCGACAGCGUGGGGAGCAAACAGG
rnacentral:rRNA from 1 species